UGACUUUAGAAUUGUAAUCAGUAGCAAUGAGUAUGGAAAAUGCUAAGGAGUCACCAGUUCAAUUUCAAACUGGUUGUUUGCGAGGACGCUGCACAGUUAAGAGUGGGGCUAUGUACAAUAAGUAGUUAUUUGCUGAUUUGUAGAUACUUAGUUUAUAGUGUAAACAGGGAUAGAUGACUGUUAGAAAGGUAGUUCAGUAGUUAAAAUGGAUGAAUAGUUAGAAAAAGCAGUUUUCAUUAGAGAUGUAGCAGUUGGUAUCUUGUGGUAGGAUAAGGAGGAUGAGAGAGAGGAAGAAACCGCCAUUACUGUGAUAGUGUGACCCGGGAUAAGCUUGGUGCUACCUCUUUUCUUUUGUUGUUAUGUUCUUUGAAAUAAGAGUAUUGAGAGUUUCUGAAUAUUGUGAAGUGAAUCAUGGAAUGAAAGUGUGAAUGGAAUUAUAUGUUAUUGAAUGAGAAGAAGAGAGUUUGAAUGCUGAAAUCUGAAUGUAGUUCAGCAGAAAGAGUGAAUCUGUGGUUGUGUGAAACACUGUAAUGUGAAUGGUAGUUUUGUGUGAAGAAUUCCAGUAAUUGGAAUGAGGGUAAUUGUGUGCUGAAGCUGUGAUGUUGAGGUAUUACAGUUGGAGAUUAUAAGAGUGAAGAUAUAUUGGUGGAA
rnacentral:lncRNA from 1 species